ACAAUGGCAGUUCAGUGGUGGAAUUCUUGCCUGACAUGCAGGAGACCCAGGUUCGAUUCCCGGCCAAUGCA
rnacentral:tRNA from 1 species